CAUUGCUGUCCAAUCUUGUGAUCCUGCAGUGAAACAAAGCAUUCACAUGUCAUAAUUCAAAUUAAAAUAAUUAAAAUAAGAGGGAAACAAACCAGAAAAGAUCAAGGAAAUCAUGGAUUUUAAAAACUAGAGAGGAAUAUUUAUGAUAGAGCAGUCAAAUUCUUUGGCCUAAUACAUAAAUUUGCAAAUGAACUACUUAGGAAAAAAGCCUUUAAACCCAUGAUCAUUCAUUUCAACCAAUUGUACCGUUAUUCUUUUAUUUUGUCCAAUUACACCAUUAUGCUUUUCUUUUUGUAAUAACUAACAGGCAUGCUUAUGAAUUUUUGGUUCAUAUUCUUUCUCAGUCACGCUCAAAUUCGUCUUUGGUACAUUCCCAGUAUUCACAAAUACAAAAUCUUCUUGCCAUAAGUUGUUCAAAAUCGAAAACGACAAUAAUAAAAAAACAAGAAUUCCAAGUUAUGACACAAAUAUUUCUAAUCUUAAUACAAACUAAACAAAGUUUUCUUUUGUAAUCUUGGUAUAUCUUGAUAACAAGACAUGACACAAAUGAAAUCUAUCAAAUUAUUAAGGAAUGUAUUUUCCUCCUUACGGAACCAGAUUUGGGAAGAAAUAGACUGAAUGGAAAGUGUAAACGGAUAAAAUUUGUCAUUUCAUUUUUAAAUGUGUUACAAUGCUACUUCAGCUUACUUUUUUCAACUUUAUUUCAGUAGCAUCAGCAUGCGUAUAAGGACACAUAUUGCUAACUGGGGAUAUCAAACCUAUUGGUUACAUAAAAGAAUAAAGGAGUAAAAGGUCAAAACAGAAAAUCAAAGGUGUACUACGGACAAUUUUAUGUAUUAUGCCUUAUUCUUGGAACUUGCAAGCCUUAAACUCUCCCUCAACUUAUAUUAUUAACAAAAUUUUACACAGAAACUAAUUUAAUAUAUUUCUUAGUCUCAUAAAACCCUAAAAGCUUUUAUUAAAAAUUUUUAAUAACAUUAGAAUCAGAUUCAGAUUACUAAACUAUAUGAUAACAAAAUCACAAUAGGGAAGUGUACAUUUUCAUUGCAUAUUUCAGAAGUUCAUUCAAA
rnacentral:misc_RNA from 1 species